rnacentral:rRNA from 1 species
GGCGGCAGGCCUAACACAUGCAAGUCGAGCGGUAGCACAGAGAAGCUUGCUUCUUGGGUGACGAGCGGCGGACGGGUGAGUAACGCGUGGGAAUCUACCUGGUAGUGGGGGACAACAGUCGGAAACGACUGCUAAUACCGCAUACGCCCUUCGGGGGAAAGUGGGGGAUCUUCGGACCUUACGCUAUCAGAUGAGCCCGCGUCGGAUUAGCUUGUUGGUGAGGUAAGAGCUCACCAAGGCGAUGAUCCGUAGCUGGUCUGAGAGGAUGACCAGCCACACUGGGACUGAGACACGGCCCAUACUCCUACGGGAGGCAGCAGUGGGGAAUAUUGGACAAUGGGGGCAACCCUGAUCCAGCCAUGCCGCGUGUGUGAAGAAGGCCUUCGGGUUGUAAAGCACUUUCAGCAGUGAGGAAAGGCCUAAGGUUAAUACCCUUGUGCUGUGACGUUAACUGCAGAAGAAGGACCGGCUAACUCCGUGCCA